UUAUGCGUCCCUAAACAUGCGGGUUAACCCUACAUGGUUAACCACCAUUUCUGGUACUAUAAAAGCUUUGUGGUUUUCAUCCUCAACCCCCUCAUCCUGUCGACCUCUAAAAAUCAAAAGCCAUUCGUCUCUGAAUUGUUAAACUUCUUCCUCUCUCUCUCUACGUUACGUGCUCUUCUUGUUUCCAAGAAGAGAGCUUCUAACGUAACAAGGAGAGAGGAAGGGACAAAAAUGGCUGUUAAUGCUGCACCAUUUAACGGAAUGGUUGGCGUCGUUGCUCUCAUUUUCGCCGUCAUUUUGCCCAUGAUUCAUGCAACCGGCCUGGCUCCGGCUCCGACAAGCGAUGGCACGGCAAUAGACCAAGGGAUAGCAUACAUUCUAAUGCUGCUGGCGUUGGUUCUCACAUACCUGAUCCACUGAACCAUCCAUCUGAUCGAUGAUUCAAGUUAUAUAUUAAAGCAAGAACAUGCAUAUAACUGGGUCCUUAGGGUGGGUGUGACGUAAUGGGGUUGUAAAUUCGUUUGGAUUAGCAUUUUGGAUUGGUGUAUGCUAGGGAGAAAUUCAUUAUUUUGGGCAGAAGUUUCAGAUUGAAUAAAUCAAAGUACUGAAUUGGUUCUC